rnacentral:rRNA from 1 species
UGCGACCCCAGGUCAGGCGGGACUACCCGCUGAGUUUAAGCAUAUCAUAGA